UGCCCAGCAACUCCUAUCCCUACUUCCUCGUGGUACUGGAUGGGGUACGAGCCAUCUUAGGGAUGAUCGGAUAACCAACUCCGGUGGAAACUUUGGUCGUAUGCUGACAGUGAAGG
rnacentral:ribozyme from 1 species